GAUGGACGCUGGCGGCGUGCCUAAUACAUGCAAGUCGAGCGAACGGACGAGAAGCUUGCUUUUCUGAUAUUAGCGGCGGACGGGUGAGUAACACGUGGAUAACCUACCUAUAAGACUGGGAUAACUUCGGGAAACCGGAGCUAAUACCGGAUAAUAUUUUGAACCGCAUGGUUCAAAAGUGAAAGACGGUCUUGCUGUCACUUAUAGAUGGAUCCGCGCUGCAUUAGCUAGUUGGUAAGGUAACGGCUUACCAAGGCAACGAUGCAUAGCCGACCUGAGAGGGUGAUCGGCCACACUGGAACUGAGACACGGUCCAGACUCCUACGGGAGGCAGCAGUAGGGAAUCUUCCGCAAUGGGCGAAAGCCUGACGGAGCAACGCCGCGUGAGUGAUGAAGGUCUUCGGAUCGUAAAACUCUGUUAUUAGGGAAGAACAUAUGUGUAAGUAACUGUGCACAUCUUGACGGUACCUAAUCAGAAAGCCACGGCUAACUACGUG
rnacentral:rRNA from 1 species